CAUGUACAUCGAAAAUGUUUAAAAAAAAAAAAGUAAUAAAGUUUCUUGGAUUAAUUUCACUGCUUGCUAGUGCUUUGAAUGAAUCUUAUGAAUUAGGUUUGUAUGCCUACUCGAUCGCUUAUGAUAUCUGAUUCGAAUUAAAUCACAUAUAUUAUUGAAACUUGGUAGAGAAUCAUUCACAUUGAAAAUGAUCGAAAUAGGGUCAGUAGUAUUGAUAUUUUCCACAGGCGAUGAGACAAUAUCUAGGACGAAUAUUAUCUACUUUGAACGAAACUCAAAUGUAUUGUUAGGGCACACAGUGAAUCAAAUUGAUAAAAAUGAUGAAAAUGUUUCAUUUAUUACGUUAUUAAUGAUAAUGUUCAAAAGUGUAACAGUAGUAGGUUAUUCAAAUCA
rnacentral:lncRNA from 1 species